rnacentral:rRNA from 1 species
GCCAUGCCGCGUGUAUGAAGAAGGCCUUCGGGUUGUAAAGUAGUUUCAGCGGGGAGGAAGGCGAUCGGGUUAAUAACCGCGUCGAUUGACGUUACCCGCAGAAAAAGCACCGGCUAACUCCGUGCCAGCAGCCGCGGUAAUACGGACGGUGCAAGCGUUAAUCGGAAUUACUGGGCGUAAAGCGCACGCAGGCGGUCUGUUAAGUCAGAUGUGAAAUCCCCGGGCUUAACCUGGGAACUGCAUUUGAAACUGGCUGGCUUGAGUCUUGUAGAGGGGGGUAGAAUUCCAGGUGUAGCGGUGAAAUGCGUAUAGAUGUGGAGGAAUACCGGUGGCGAAGGCGGCCCCCUGGACAAGGACUGACGCUCAGGUGCGAAAGCGUGGGGAGCAAACAGGAUUAGAUACCCUGGUAGUCCACGCCCUAAACGAUGUCGACUUGGAGGUUGUUCCCUUGAGGAGUGGCUUCCGGAGCUAACGCGUUAAGUCGACCGCCUGGGGAGUACGGCCGCAAGGUUAAAACUCAAAUGAAUUGACGGGAGCCCGCACAAGCGGUGGAGCAUGUGGUUUAAUUCGAUGCAACGCGAAGAACCUUACCUACUCUUGACAUCCAGCGAACUUAGCAUGAGAUGC